GAUGAACGCUAGCGGGAGGCCUAAUACAUGCAAGUCGAACGGUAACAGGGUAGCAAUACCGCUGACGAGUGGCGCACGGGUGAGUAACACGUACACAAUCUGCCUUAUACUGGAGCAUACCCCCAAGAAAUUGGGACUAAUUCUCCAUAACAUAUCGAAGAGGCAUCUCUUUGAUAUUAAAGUUCCGGCGGAUAAGGAUGAGCAUGCGUCCCAUUAGCUAGUUGGUGAGGUAACGGCUCACCAAGGCAACGAUGGGUAGCUGGUCUGAGAGGAUGAUCAGCCACACGGGCACUGAGACACGGGCCCGACUCCUACGGGAGGCAGCAGUAGGGAAUAUUGGGCAAUGGAGGCAACUCUGACCCAGCCAUCCCGCGUGCAGGAUGAAGGAUCUAUGGUUCGUAAACUGCUUUUAUCAGGGAAGAAAAAGAUUGAUUUAUCAAUAACUGACGGUACCUGAUGAAUAAGCACCGGCUAACUCCGUGCCAGCCGCCGCGGUAAAAC
rnacentral:rRNA from 1 species